UACGAAGGGGGCUAGCGUUGCUCGGAAUUACUGGGCGUAAAGCGCACGUAGGCGGAUUGUUAAGUCGGGGGUGAAAUCCUGGAGCUCAACUCCAGAACUGCCUUCGAAACUGGCGAUCUUGAGUCCGGGAGAGGUGGGUGGAACUGCGAGUGUAGAGGUGAAAUUCGUAGAUAUUCGCAAGAACACCAGUGGCGAAGGCGGCUCACUGGCCCGGUACUGACGCUGAGGUGCGAAAGCGUGGGGAGCAAACAGG
rnacentral:rRNA from 1 species